UGUUACCUCCAGGUUUCGAACCUGGGACCUUCGGCGUGUUACGCGGAUGUGAUAACCACUACACCAUGACAAC
rnacentral:tRNA from 1 species